rnacentral:rRNA from 1 species
GACGAACGCUGGCGGCGUGCUUAACACAUGCAAGUCGAACGGAAAGGCCUGCUUUCCCUUGUGGAUUGCGGGUACUCGAGUGGCGAACGGGUGAGUAACACGUGAGUGAUCUGCCCCCAACUUGGGUAUAAGCCUGGGAAACUGGGUCUAAUUCCCGAUAGGACUGCAGGGUGGUGCCUGUGGUGGAAAACGAUUUUCUAGUGGUUGGGGAUGAGCUCGCGGCCUAUCAGCUUGUUGGUGGGGUAAUGGCCUACCAAGGCGGCGACGGGUGGCCGGCCUGAGAGGGUGGACGGCCACAUUGGGACUGAGAUACGGCCCAGACUCCUACGGGAGGCAGCAGUGGGGAAUAUUACACAAUGGGCGGAAGCCUGAUGCAGCGACGCCGCGUGGGGGAUGACGGCCUUCGGGUUGUAAACUCCUUUCGACCGCGAGGAAGCCACCUGGUUGGAAGGGUGGUGACGGUAGUGGUAGAAGAAGCACCGGCUAACUACGUG